rnacentral:lncRNA from 1 species
GGGAGCCUGGCGAUGGCGGUGUCCGGAGUUCCUAAGGUCCGGCGAGGGGUUCAAGGGGACUGCAAACUGUUUAAAGGGAGAUUUCCAGAGGAACGCGAAAAACAGUACCCAUGCCAGAGCCCAAGCCGACAAGCAGCGAGGGGUGGUCGGUGGGGGUGGGGUGGGAGGUUGGGGGGUGAGAGGGAGGGCCUCCGUCUGGGAUCGCCACUACUACUGCUGCUAUUGUUGUUGAGGAUGGAAGCCAGCAGCUUGUGUGGCCUUGUCUCACCUUUUACACCAACAGGGCCGGGCGCAGGCCGAGGACAGUGGCGGGGGAGUACGUCCUCGUCCUGAUGUCACUACGACUACUGUCAAUAGAUGUUAAAACGGUACCACCGCGAUCUCAUAUCUCUCCUGGAUAUUAUUUCAUGAUGAGCGGGGGCAAAAGUGCUGCACCACUAUGCCAAAUCCAAUUGUGGCGUAAGGAGGCGGCACCAAGAGCAACAGAGUUUUGAAGGGUGGCAGUAGGUGCAAUUGCUCAGGUUGUGUCAGGUCUCUGGCUCUGCUGCGCGCCUCUCUCCAAAACGCCAGUUGAAGCCCAAAAAGUGUUGAUAACUUACCUUGCCAGCGCAGCGCCGUUCACCGCCCCGGAAAUCAGGAAAUCGGACUCCCUAGCUCCAUGGCCAAAUACUCAGCCCCGCCUCUGUUUCGCAUUCCGGGUUAUGCAUCUUCUGAAUAAAGAAGUUCCCCAGGCAAGAACCCGGCCGAUGGGCCGGGCCGCAUACAAAGCACAGCCUUGCCGUGCCAUGAAACACCAGGCGCUCCGUAUAUUGCAUCCCAAUAGGCAGGAAGAGGAGUAAAGAAUGUCACACAUUGCAGGACCCCAUUUCACUCUUGCGGUCUUCUUGGGUAGCCAACGCAAGGGGUCCUUGGCCAAGGCCCUUGGGCCUCUUGUAAAACUUCAUCCCGCCAUCGAUGCUGGAAGCCCUGGCUACGUGGGGUGU